GUCUAUGGCCAUGCUACCCUGAACAAAGCCGAGUCCGUCUGAUCUCAGAAGCUAAGCAGGGUCAGGCCUGGUUAGUACUUGGAUGGGAGAGCACCUAGGGAAGACCACGUGCUGUAGGCA
ensembl:rRNA 5S_rRNA 5S ribosomal RNA